rnacentral:rRNA from 1 species
AACACAUGCAAGUCGAACGAGAUCUUCGGAUCUAGUGGCAGACGGGUGAGUAACGCGUGGGAACCUGCCCAGUAGUAGAGAAUAACUUGGGGAAACUUAAGCUAAUACUUUAUACGUCCUUCGGGAGAAAGCUUUAUGCGCUAUUGGAUGGGCCCGCGUUAGAUUAGUUUGUUGGUGAGGUAAUGGCUCACCAAGGCGACGAUCUAUAGCUGGUCUGAGAGGAUGAUCAGCCACACUGGGACUGAGACACGGCCCAGACUCCUACGGGAGGCAGCAGUGGGGAAUAUUGGACAAUGGGGGCAACCCUGAUCCAGCGAUGCCGCGUGAGUGAUGAAGGCCCUAGGGUUGUAAAACUCUUUCGUCAGGGAAGAUAAUGACGGUACCUGAAGAAGAAGAUCCGGCUAACUCCGUGCCAGCAGCCGCGGUAAUACGGAGGGGUCUAGCGUUAUUCGGAAUUACUGGGCGUAAAGCGAGCGUAGGCGGAAUUGUAAGUUGGAGGUGAAAUCCCAGAGCUUAACUCUGGAACUGCCUUCAAAACUACAUUUCUUGAGUUUGGUAGAGGAGAGUGGAAUUCCUAGUGUAGAGGUGAAAUUCGUAGAUAUUAGGAGGAACACCAGUGGCGAAGGCGACUCUCUGGGCCAAUACUGACGCUGAGGUUCGAAAGCAUGGGUAGCGAACAGGAUUAGAUACCCUGGUAGUCCAUGCAGUAAACGAUGAGUGCUAGAUGUUGGGAAUUUAAAUUUCCAGUAUCGCAGUUAACGCGUUAAGCACUCCGCC